GUGCCAGCCGCCGCGGUAAUACGUAGGGCGCAAGCGUUAUCCGGAAUUAUUGGGCGUAAAGAGCUCGUAGGCGGUCUGUCGCGUCUGCUGUGAAAACCCGAGGCUCAACCUCGGGCCUGCAGUGGGUACGGGCAGACUAGAGUGCGGUAGGGGAGAUUGGAAUUCCUGGUGUAGCGGUGGAAUGCGCAGAUAUCAGGAGGAACACCGAUGGCGAAGGCAGAUCUCUGGGCCGUAACUGACGCUGAGGAGCGAAAGGGUGGGGAGCAAACAGGCUUAGAUACCCUGGUAGUCCACCCCGUAAACGUUGGGAACUAGUGUGGGACCAUUCCACGGUUUCCGUGACGCAGCUAACGCAUUAAGUUCCCCGCCUGGGGAGUACGGCCGCAAGGCUAAAAACUCAAAGGAAUUGACGGGGACCCGCACAAGCGGCGGAGCAUGCGGAUUAAUUCGAUGCAACGCGAAGAACCUUACCAAGGCUUGACAUAUACGAGAACGGGCCAAGAAAUGGU
rnacentral:rRNA from 1 species